rnacentral:miRNA from 1 species
AGGCAGUGUAUUGUUAGUUAGCUGC